GUCGCUGGCGCCUGGGGCCGGUCCCGGGGGGCGCAGGGGGCUUUGCUGGAGCGGGGCGGGUCCCCGGGGCCCGUGGGGAGACAGCCGGGCCGGGACAAGCUGCGGGCCGGCGGCUGCCCCUGCCCCUGCCGGCACGUGCAGGACACCCCAGACCUCGUCCUGCCGGCGGGGCCCCCGCAGCGCGGGAGAGCGGGCAGCAGGUGCAGGGACCGUGAGCAGAGCUGAGCAGAGCAGCAGCCCCCUGGGGAAGGGCCUGUAACCCUGGAGCUGCAGAGGACUUCGCCAGGGAGAGAGGGGCUCCCUGACACCUGAGCGGGGCCCGGGCAGGCCGUCAAACGGGGAGAGCAUGGAGAGUCCUGUGUCCAGCUUUGGGCCCCAUACUUCAAGAACAGAUUGGAAGGAGUCCAGUGGAGAGCAUCACAAAUGAUCAGAAGCCUGGGAAGUAUGACUUCGAUUAAGGAAAGGCUCAAAGAACUGGGGUCAUUUUGUCUGGAGAAGAGAAGACUGAGGAGAUGUUUGGUAGCAUCCUCAACUUCCUGAAAGGUGAUUAUGGAGAGGAUGGAGAUGGGCUUUUCUCUGUGGCUGGACAGGACAGGACUAAGAGAAACAGCCUCAAGCUUCAACAGGGGAAAUUUAUGUCGGAGAUGAGGAGGGUCUUUCUGACUAUGAGGCUGGUCGUGCACCGGCACAGGCUGCCUAGAGAAGUUGUAGAGUCUCCAUCCCUGGAAGUGUCACAAGGAGGUUGGCCAACCCCUUGGAUGGGAUGGCUUUCAUCAGGGAGGACUUUGUCUUGAGCAGGGGGCUGGACAAGAUGACUUGCGAGGUCCAUUCAUAAUGCUGAGUUGAAGGGUUUAGGGAAUGCACUGAUAUAACUAACGGUGCAUUAUCUUCUGAUUGGAUUGUGUAUGUAUGAAGAUACACAAACUGGAGGGAGACUGGAUUUGUGUAACCUUGCAGCUGCCUUUUGGCCACUCCAAUCACCUGGCUGCAAGGGAAUAAAGCUAAUCUGGUUUUA